UAAGGGAUAUUGGUCAAUGGACGCAAGUCUGAACCAGCCAUGCCGCGUGAAGGAUGAAGGUCCUCUGGAUUGUAAACUUCUUUUAUCUGGGACGAAAACGGGAUUUUUAUCUCAAUUGACGGUACCAGAGGAAUAAGCACCGGCUAACUCCGUGCCAGCAGCCGCGGUAAUACGGAGGGUGCGAGCGUUAUCCGGAUUUACUGGGUUUAAAGGGUGCGUAGGUGGGCUUAUAAGUCAGUGGUGAAAUCUCCGAGCUUAACUUGGAAACUGCCGUUGAUACUAUAGGUCUUGAAUUAUCUGGAGGUAAGCGGAAUAUGUCAUGUAGCGGUGAAAUGCUUAGAUAUGACGUAGAACACCAAUUGCGAAGGCAGCUUACUACAUAUAAAUUGACGCUGAGGCACGAAAGCGUGGGGAUCAAACA
rnacentral:rRNA from 1 species